ACUCAAAUGAAUAGACGGGGGCCCGCACAAGCGGCGGAGCGUGCGGUUUAAUUCGACGCGACGCGCAGAACCUUACCCGGGCUUGACAUGCCCCUGCAAGCUCCCGAAAGGGAGUCGCUUUCGAAGGUGGGGCACAGGUGCUGCAUGGCUGUCGUCAGCUCGUGCCGUGAGGUGUUGGGUUAAGUCCCGCAACGAGCGCAACCCCCGCCGCCAGUUGCCGAUGUUUCUGGCGGGACGGCCCCUCGCGGGGAGGAAGGAGGGGAUGAUGUCAAGUCAGCAUGGCCCUUACGUCCGGGGCGACACGCACGCUACAAUGGCCGGGACAAUGGGUCGCCAAGCGGCAACGCGGAGCUAAUCCCCCAAACCCGGUCUCAGUUCGGAUCGGGGGCUGCAACCCGCCCCCGUGAAGUCGGAGUCGCUAGUAACCGCGGGUCAGCACUACCGCGGUGAAUGUGUUCCCGGGCCUUGUACACACCGCCCGU
rnacentral:rRNA from 1 species